AAAAUACUGAACAAGAUUUAAUGCUUUCCCAUUUAUUCAUCGAAAAACAUUCAUGCACGCAACAUUUGAAAAUCACCAAAUAUAUAUAAUAAAAAUAAGGAGACAAACCAAUCCCAUUGGUUCGAAUAAAUCAUACACUACCAGGACAAACACUUAAGCCGACGAAAAAGUUUCGUCGGUCCGUUAGCUUAAUUUGUCAGCUAAGAUCUCGUCAGCUAAGAUUUCGUCGGGAAAAGGUCGUCGGCAAUGACUUUAGCCGACGAAAAAAGAAGACGUCGUUGGCUAUAGUCCCACAGUUUAGCCGACGAAAAACAUGUCGUCGGUUUUUUUCCCAGACUUUAGCCGACGAAACAAUUAAGAUAUUCGUCGGCUAAACCUUAUAAAAAAAUAAAAAAAAUAACUAUAGCCGACGAAAUAUAGUUUGUUUCGUCGGCUAAACCUUAUAAAAAAAUUAAAAAAUAACUAUAGCCGACGAAAUAUAGUCUGUUUCGUCGGCUAAACCUUAUAAAAAAAUUUUUAAAAUAAUUAUAGCCGACGAAACAUACCAUAAUUCGUUAGCUAAACCUAAUAAAAAAAAAUACUAUAGCCGACGAAUAUAGUAUUUAAAUAUCGUUGGCUAAAGUUGUUGGUUUUUGAAAAAAAAAAACUGCAAAAACUUUCGGCCACCUCCAAUCACCACCAAAAUUUGACAGAAUCUUCCUCUCAACAUUUUGAACAACUUUCUAGAAGAAGUCGAAGCCCAAUUCUAAGCCUAAAUAUGUCAAUUGAAUCAAAAUAUAAAAAUCCCCAAUUUUAAACCCUAAAAACUUCAAAUCUUCGAUUCUCCUCACACAGACCGAAUCGUGCUACCAAAUUCUAGGGGAAUAUAGUAUUAAUCAAACUCAACUUAUCCAUAUAUAGAACUCACCAAAUGGUGACGUGAGGAAGGAGAAAUUCGAUCGACACCGAAUCCGAACCGGCGGAGUUUUGGAGCUUGAUUUAUCCCUCCCGACGGCGCCACUCGAUGCACCACCUGUCCAGCAAUGAAGUAGAGACGACGGCGAAGCUUUUGGGACAAGUGUGGCGGUCUCC
rnacentral:lncRNA from 1 species